rnacentral:rRNA from 1 species
AUAGUGAUCAAUUAAACUGAUCUCCUAGUAAAAAAGCUAGAAUUACAACAUAAGACCAGAAGACCCUGUGAAGCUUAAAUAAAACUAUUAAACCAUAUAAUAGCUACUUUCGGUUGGGGCGACCUUGGAAAAAAAAAGAACUUCCAAAUAAAAUGAAUAUACCUCAUUAUCUAAACAGGCCAACAAGCCAAAAAUGACCCAGCACAGCUGAUAAUUGAACCAAGUUACUCCAGGGAUAACAGCGCAAUCUUCUUCAAGAGCCCAUAUCAAAAAGAAGGUUUACGACCUCGAUGUUGGAUCAGGACAUCCUAAUGGUGCAGCCGCUAUUAAGGGUUCGUUUGUUCAACGAUUAAUA